UCUGAUGCAGCCAUACCGCGUGUAUGAAGAAGGCCUUAGGGUUGUAAAGUACUUUCAGCGAGGAGGAAAGGUAAGUAGUUAAUAACUGCUUACUGUGACGUUACUCGCAGAAGAAGCACCGGCUAACUCCGUGCCAGCAGCCGCGGUAAU
rnacentral:rRNA from 1 species